rnacentral:misc_RNA from 1 species
AAGUCGUAACAAGGUUUCCGUAGGUGAACCUGCGGAAGGAUCAUUACCGAGCUCAUGCCCUUCGGGGUAGACCUCCAUCCGUGUCUAUCUAACAGUGUUGCUUUGGCGGUCGCACCCCGACUGCCAGAGGCCCAAACCCUGAAAAUUAGUGUUGUCCGAGUCCUAUAUAAUAAGUUAAAACUUUCAACAACGGAUCUCUUGGUUCUG